rnacentral:lncRNA from 1 species
CAGCAUCUAUUCCAGCGAUUACAACAUCAAGCAGUGAAACAACAGGAACAACUCUAGGUCUUCUCACCGAGCCUUUUACUACAGGCAUUACUGAAACUUCAGUUCCCAUCAUCUCAACAUCUGGAAAUGCAGGCACAACAGGAGUAGUGAGCCCCACUGUCACUGGUGCUGCAGGCGUGGCAGGGACAACUGGAGUGUUAGCUGGUAUAACCACAGGAGCUGAACAUGGAAAUUUAAGUGACUUCAGAACAGGUGAGACAAAGAAAUGAGUCAAAUGCUGUCUCUUCCACAGCCUAUUUCUACUAGGAAUCCUCUGUUUCAACUUGGCAACAACUUUUACCCUGAGUACAAUAGCUGACUUCAGAG